AAAAUCCAUUUUCAAUAAAAGAAAAAGAAUACUAAAAAAGAAAAAGAACAGUAGUGUGAUGGUUUGAUAAAAAUGGCCCUGAUAGGCUCACAUAUUUGAAUUCCUAGUCAUCAGGGAGUAGCACUAUUUGAGAAGGAUUAGGAGGUAUGGCCUUGUUGGAGUGGGUGUGGCUUUGUUGAUACAUAGGAGGGUGGGCUGAGAUUUCAAAAGCUGACACCAGGCCAGUGUCUCUCUCUCUCUCUCAGCCUAUGGAUCAGGUUGCAGCUCUCCGCUACUGUUCCAGUACCAUGUUACCCACAUGAUGAUACUGGACUAAGCCUCUAAAAUGGCAAGCGAGUCCCUCAAUUUAACACUUUCUUUUGUAAGAGUCGCCUUGGUCAUGACAUCUCUUGCCAGCAAUGGACCAGUGACUAAGACAAGUUGUCACUUCAGAACAAACUUGAGAGUGGACCUGUGCCAACAAAUCAGAGGGAUGGUCUUGCAUGUCUGAGGAUUACCGGACUGUCCAAACAGAAGCCCCUGUACGAGGAUGAGGUUACCCAGGCAACUAGCAAUCUUCUGUGCAGUGUUCCUGCCCUUUCCCAUGGAAACACAGUUUAUGCAUGUGCUGUGUGAUCUGUCUUGAUACUGUCAUCAGCAACAGCAUUUAGGCCUCGUAGCCUAACAGCCCCAGGCUAAGAAGAGGAAUCCUUCCUUCCGUUUCUACAUGAUGUUCUCAUCUGAACCACAGGAUGAACCCUAGACUGGGAACCACAACAGAAGCAGCAUGAAGCCCCCCACCAGAAGCUGAGCAGGUGUCCAAACCACAUCCUUGGACUUCCCAGUCUUCUGACCACUGCGUCCCUUAUACAUCACCAUGCUGUUGUUUGGUUCCAGCAACAGCUAACAGAAUAGAACAGUCCACUUAAAGAAAGGUAUUGGUCACAUUCUCUAAAACCCCACCAGGGACAGUCAAAGUAUUUUUUAGAACCUAAAUCUUUAAAAAGAACACCAUGCUUGUGAUUUUUAUAACCAUUAUAAAAUACAAUGGUUAUAUAGGUCUUCUUUCUCCUUUUUUU